GGGAUAACUGCGGGAAACUGUAGCUAAUACCGGAUACGACACCUUGGGGCAUCCCAGGGUGUGGAAAGAAUUUCGGUCAAGGAUGAGCUCGCGGCCUAUCAGCUAGUUGGUGAGGUAAUGGCUCACCAAGGCGACGACGGGUAGCCGGCCUGAGAGGGUGACCGGCCACACUGGAACUGAGACACGGUCCAGACUCCUACGGGAGGCAGCAGGUGGGGAAUAUUGCACAAUGGGCGCAAGCCUGAUCCAGCCAUUCCGCGUGCAAGGAUAGGAAACGGCCCCGUUCGGGGUUAGUAAACUGUCUUUUGUACGGAACGAAAGGUCUCUAUUAAUACUGGGGGCUCAUGACGGUACCGUAAGAAUAAGCACCGGCUAACUACGUG
rnacentral:rRNA from 1 species